rnacentral:rRNA from 1 species
GACGGAUGGGGCUAGCGUUGUUCGGAAUUACUGGGCGUAUAGGGCGCGUAGGCGGCCAUUUAAGUUAGACGUGAAAGCCCUGGGCUUAACCUAGGAAUUGCGUUUAAUACUGGAUGGCUAGAGUUUGGUAGAGGAAAGCGGAAUUCCUAGUGUAGAGGUGAAAUUCGUAGAUAUUAGGAAGAACACCAGAGGCGAAGGCGGCUUUCUGGACCAAUACUGACGCUGAGGCGCGAAAGCGUGGGGAGCAAACAGG